AGACCUCCGCAGGCUGGCCGGCCCCGGGGCUGGGCUGGGCAAGCAUCUCUUCGAAAGGCUCACCCUCCAGCAUGACUAGGAGC
rnacentral:pre_miRNA from 1 species